rnacentral:lncRNA from 1 species
GUCACAUUGUCGGUACUCGUGGGGGUACAUACAGGUUGAGGAGCUCUAGUUACGGGGUAUCUGGAAGGUGACGUUGGAAGAUUUUCUUCAGUCUUUAAUUAUUUUUGAGAACUAUGUAGACGAAUACGGGCUCUGAUUCUGUAACACUGGGGUUGGGAUGUUUUGUCAACUAUUUUUCUUUUAUUGGAGUUGAUUUUUGAAAUUAUAAUUUAAUUUUGCUUGGAUGAUGAGAUCCUAAACUUAUUAUAUUUAAUUUGGAGUUAACGAAUUA